ensembl:snRNA U6 U6 spliceosomal RNA
GUGGUUGUUUUAGCAGCACAUAUACUAUACCUGGAAUAAUACAGAGAAGAUUAGCACGGCCCCUGUGCAAGAAGGACAUGAAAAUGUGCAAAGCAUUCCAUAUUUCU